AUACGGAGGAUCCGAGCGUUAUCCGGAUUUAUUGGGUUUAAAGGGUGCGUAGGUGGUUAAUUAAGUUAGCGGUAAAAUCUGUAGGCUCAACCUAUAUAAGCCGUUAAGACUGAAUAGCUAGAGAGAGGAUGCAGCAGGCGGAAUGUGUAGUGUAGCGGUGAAAUGCAUAGAUAUUACACAGAACACCGAUUGCGAAGGCAGCUUGCUAAGCCUUAUCUGACACUGAAGCACGAAAGCGUGGGUAGCGAACGGGAUUAGAUACCCCGGUAGUCCACGCAGUAAACGAUGAUAACUGGUUGUCGGCGAUACACGGUCGGUGACUAAGCGAAAGCGAUAAGUUAUCCACCUGGGGAGUAUGCCCGCAAGGGUGAAACUUAAAUGAAUUGGCGGGG
rnacentral:rRNA from 1 species